GAUGAACGCUGGCGGCGUGCCUAAUACAUGCAAGUCGAGCGAAUGGAUUGAGAGCUUGCUCUUAUGAAGUUAGCGGCGGACGGGUGAGUAACACGUGGGUAACCUGCCCAUAAGACUGGGAUAACUCCGGGAAACCGGGGCUAAUACCGGAUAACAUUUUGAACCGCAUGGUUCGAAAUUGAAAGGCGGCUUCGGCUGUCACUUAUGGAUGGACCCGCGUCGCAUUAGCUAGUUGGUGGGGUAACGGCUCACCAAGGCAACGAUGCGUAGCCGACCUGAGAGGGGGAUCGGCCACACUGGGACUGAGACACGGCCAAGACUCCUACGGGAGGCAGCAGUAGGGAAUCUUCCGGAAUGGACGAAAGUCUGACGGAGCAACGCCGCGCGAGGGAUGAUGGCGUUCGGGUCGUAAAACUCUGUUGUUAGGGAAGAACAAGUGCUAGUUGAAUAAGCUGGCACCUUGACGGUACCUAACCAGAAAGCCACGGCUAACUACGUGCCAGCCGCCGCAGUAA
rnacentral:rRNA from 1 species